CUGUACAACAGUUUUUCAGUGUACCCUUAACUCUGAAACCUGUCCUUUGACAUGCAGACUGUACUGGAGUUAUAGAACUGAGGUGCAAGCUUUCAGUUAACCCUAGGUGUAUUCCGUCAGUGUUGAGACUGUUCUCAGGGGAGGAUAUAGUCACAUCGUGGACCAUCACUCCUUGACAGUUGUCAAACUUAAGAUGGCACUGUGAGCUGUUGACAAUAGUGAUGCCAGCUACUAAGACGUUGAAACUACCAUAAAACCUCAAUGACUGCAUCAGGUUUAAUCUGG